AUAAAAAGUAAUGAUUAAUAUUUUAUAUUUUACAAAAUGCAUAGGUAAUAUAUUAUUUCAUAAUAAUAAUAAACAAAAAAGUGUAUAUUUUGUUUAUGUUGUGGAGUAUAAUUAAAUAAUAUUAUGUAGGUACCAUAUGUAUCAAGCCCAGAUUAAUAAUGAAGAUAAGGCCACGCCUACCACAAGCCACAAGACUCCAGUGGCCUCAGACUUUACCCUAGUAUAAUUAUAUUCUUUAUCCGUG